UACGGAGGGUGCAAGCGUUGUCCGGAUUUAUUGGGUUUAAAGGGUGCGUAGGCGGCUCUUUAAGUCAGUGGUGAAAUACUGCAGCUCAACUGUAGCAUUGCCAUUGAUACUGAAGAGCUUGAGUACAGAUGAGGUAGGCGGAAUUUUAUGGUGUAGCGGUGAAAUGCAUAGAUACCAUAAAGAACACCUAUUGCGAAGGCAGCUUACUAAGCUGUAACUGACGCUGAGGCACGAAAAGCGUGGGGAGCGAACAGG
rnacentral:rRNA from 1 species